rnacentral:rRNA from 1 species
GAUGAACGCUGGCGGCGUGCCUAAUACAUGCAAGUCGAGCGAACAGACGAGGAGCUUGCUCCUCUGACGUUAGCGGCGGACGGGUGAGUAACACGUGGAUAACCUAGCUAUAAGACUGGGAUAACUUCGGGAAACCGGAGCUAAUACCGGAUAAUAUAUUGAACCGGAUGGUUCAAUAGUGAAAGACGGUUUUGCUGUCACUGAUAGAUGGAUCCGCGCCGCAUUAGCUAGUUGGUAAGGUAACGGCUUACCAAGGCAACGAUGCGUAGCCGACCUGAGAGGGUGAUCGGCCACACUGGAACUGAGACACGGUCCAGACUCCUACGGGAGGCAGCAGUAGGGAAUCUUCCGCAAUGGGCGAAAGCCUGACGGAGCAACGCCGCGUGAGUGAUGAAGGUCUUCGGAUCGUAAAACUCUGUUAUUAGGGAAGAACAAGUGUGUAAGUAACUAUGCACGUCUUGACGGUACCUAAUCAGAAAGCCACGGCUAACUACGUG